UGGGGAAUCUUCCGCAAUGGACGAAAGUCUGACGGAGCAACGCCGCGUGAGUGAUGACGGCCUUCGGGUUGUAAAGCUCUGUUAAUCGGGACGAAUGGUUCUUGUGCAAAUAGUGCGAGGAUUUGACGGUACCGGAAUAGAAAGCCACGGCUAACUACGUGCCAGCAGCCGCGGUAAUACGUAGGUGGCAAGCGUUGUCCGGAAUUAUUGGGCGUAAAGCGCGCGCAGGCGGAUUGGUCAGUCUGUCUUAAAAGUUCGGGGCUUAACCCCGGGAUGGAAUGGAAACUGCCAAUCUAGAGUAUCGGAGAGGAAAGUGGAAUUCCUAGUGUAGCGGUGAAAUGCGUAGAUAUUAGGAAGAACACCAGUGGCGAAGGCGACUUUCUGGACGAAAACUGACGCUGAGGCGCGAAAGCCAGGGGAGCGAACGGG
rnacentral:rRNA from 1 species